rnacentral:rRNA from 1 species
UACGUAGGGUGCGAGCGUUGUCCGGAAUUAUUGGGCGUAAAGGGCUCGUAGGCGGUUUGUCGCGUCGGGAGUGAAAACCCAGGGCUUAACUCUGGGCUUGCUUUCGAUACGGGCAGACUAGAGGUAUGCAGGGGAGAACGGAAUUCCUGGUGUAGCGGUGAAAUGCGCAGAUAUCAGGAGGAACACCGGUGGCGAAGGCGGUUCUCUGGGCAUUACCUGACGCUGAGGAGCGAAAGCUAGGGGAGCAAACGGG